AAUUAGAUAAGCUAAACUUUAAGCUUUUGGGCUCAUAACCCAAUAAUGGAUUUAAGUCCUCUAAUUA
rnacentral:tRNA from 1 species